UACGAAGGGAGGUAGCGUUGUUCGGAAUCACUGGGCGUAAAGCGCACGUAGGCGGAUUUGUAAGUCAGGGGUGAAAUCCCGGGGCUCAACCUCGGAACUGCCUUUGAUACUGCAAAUCUCGAGUCCGGAAGAGGUGGGUGGAAUUCCUAGUGUAGAGGUGAAAUUCGUAGAUAUUAGUAAGAACACCGGUGGCGAAGGCGGCCCACUGGUCCGGUACUGACGCUGAGGUGCGAAAGCGUGCGGAGCAAACAGG
rnacentral:rRNA from 1 species